ACGCACGCUGGCGGCGUGCUUCACCCCUUCCAGUCGCACGGAAAGGCCCUGCUUUUGUGGGGUGCUCGAGUGGCGAACGGGUGAGUAACACGUGAGUAACCUGCCCUUGACUUUGGGAUAACUUCAGGAAACUGGGGCUAAUACCGGAUAUGAGCUCCUGCUGCAUGGUGGGGGUUGGAAAGUUUCGGCGGUUGGGGAUGGACGCGCGGCUUAUCAGCUUGUUGGUGGGGUAGUGGCUUACCAAGGCUUUGACGGGUAGCCGGCCUGAGAGGGUGACCGGCCACAUGGGGACUGAGAUACGGCCCAGACUCCUACGGGAGGCAGCAGUGGGGAAUAUUGCACAAUGGGCGGAAGCCUGAUGCAGCAACGCCGCGUGCGGGAUGACGGCCUUCGGGUGGUAAACCGCUUUCGCCGGUGACGAAGCGUGAGUGACGGUAAUGGGUAAAGAAGCACCGGCUAACUACGUG
rnacentral:rRNA from 1 species